UACGUAGGGGGCAAGCGUUGUCCGGAAUCAUUGGGCGUAAAGAGCGUGUAGGCGGCCAGAAAAGUCCGCUGUGAAAACUCGAGGCUCAACUUCGAGCUGUCGGUGGAAACUUUCUGGCUAGAGUCCGGAAGAGGAGAAUGGAAUUCCUGGUGUAGCGGUGAAAUGCGCAGAUAUCAGGAGGAACACCGAUGGCGAAGGCAGGUCUCUGGGCCAUAACUGACGCUGAGAAGCGAAAGCAUGGGGAGCGAACAGG
rnacentral:rRNA from 1 species